rnacentral:tRNA from 1 species
CGCGUGGCUGGCGUGGCGGACGCUCGGCGCGUUCCGGGCGCUCUGCGCGUUCGGGACGUUCCGCGCGC